rnacentral:lncRNA from 1 species
UUUUUGAGAAAGCAAUCCUACUGGGGGUCUGGCUCUCGAGAUUCGGAGAGCGGUGUCUUCGAUUUUUGAGAAAGUAAUUAUGUUGGGAGUCUGGCUCUCGAGAUUCGGAGGGCGGUGCCUCUUCGAUUUUGGAGCAAGCAAUCUUGUUGGGAGUGUUUUCUCGAAUGUGAGUAAAGGUUGGGCAUGUUUGCUAGUCUACCUUGCCACGAAGCACAGAGGUUGACACACAGGGGCUUUCCAAUU